rnacentral:rRNA from 1 species
GAUCCUGGCUCAGGAUGAACGCUAGCGGCAGGCUUAACACAUGCAAGUCGAGGGGCAGCAUAAUGGAUAGCAAUAUCUAUGGUGGCGACCGGCGCACGGGUGCGUAACGCGUAUGCAACGUACCUUUAACAGGGGGAUAACACUGAGAAAUUGGUACUAAUACCCCAUAAUAUCAUAGAAGGCACUUNUUGUGUAAUAACUAC